AGUUCUCAACUUGUCAAAUGAUCUCGGAGACUAUAGCAAGGUUGAACUGAAGAUCUGCUUAACUGAUUCCCUGGCUUAGUUCCAGCAUGUGCAAUGAUGCAGUUCUGAAGUGCCAAGUGCUUAAUCAUUAAGCUUGCUCUGGGACAAAAACAUUUUACAAGUUCCACUACACAAAAGGCCCUUGCAAGACACCAGUACCUUGAUAUUUGACUUCCAGUCUCCAGAACUUGGAACCUGAACAGUCUGCUGAAGCACCUGAUGUUUGGCCUUCCUGAAUGUCAUGUAAUACGUACUUCACCAUCAAUUCAUACAGCAGAUAUCAUCAUACACAGUCCAGGUAUGAAGAUCUGGGCUCAGAGAGACUAAGUAAGUGAAUUGCCUGAAGACACAUUGUUGAGCUCUGUGUCUUCUUGACUAACACAUGAGGCCACCUCCUGGGGCUGUUUGAACUGUUUCUGCUGAUAGGGGAGGGCAUUUCUCCAGCCCUGCUUCUAGACUCCCUCUUAAUCUUCAGAUGGCCUCUCACCCAGUUGCAUGUUGAGUUAUCCUUUCAAAAGUGUACAUGCUUUCUCUGUGGAAGCUGUGGCAAAUUUCCAGACUUGGCAUCAGGUGGCUUUUGAUGAUUCUCAAAGAUAAUAUUCAUCUAACAUGAAUACAUUUUACUGCUCCUGGGGACACCUAUAAGAAUGCCCCACUGUGGCCGGGCACAGUGUCACGCCUAUAAUUCCAGCACU
rnacentral:lncRNA from 1 species